ACCAGCGCCUUUUUUGUUUGCUCUUUCCGGCAAUUCCCCAGUGAGGAAGCCCCUGGAGUAAAGUCUUUCGCUACCGUCGGCACUGGAGGGGAAGCAUGAGGAGAGGGGAACUAACUAAAGGGUAAAAUGUCACUGAGGAACUUUGGAGAAGAGGGGGACAAGACGUCGGGCGGGGGAGCCAGCGCUCAGGUGAGAACUAAGAAGGGGGCGGCGCCCGGGGACCGGCUCCAGGCGGCGGCGGGCGGGGAGCCGCCGCGAGGUGGGUGUGCGUAUCUGGGUGUGUCCCGUCUGCGGUGGGGGAGGGGGCCACCCAUCCCGGGGUCCUGAGGGAGGGGCCCCGCGAGGGGGCGGGUCCGGCAAAUCAGCCCGGCCGGGGGCCAAGGGGGUGGAAGGUCGCCCGGUGCCUGGAGGCGGGAUGAAGGAAAGUAGCUGAGCGCCCCAGGAGCGCGCUGCGGCGGAGGGCGGGCGAGGUGACCCCGGUGCAGGGAAGUGGCACUGGGGUGUGGGGCCCGAGUCCAGUCAAGGAGCAGCACCUACCUCCGGGGGUGGAAAUGGGCCGGAAUGGGCCGGAACACCGUCCCGGAAGUGAAACCCCCCACCCCCUCCCACGGAGCGGGCGACGUGCCGGAAGGAAAUCACUCAGCCUUACACCGCCCCCCUUCCCCCACCCCCAGAGCUUUCCUUGCCUCGCGCCCCCUCCCCUCUCUGCUCUUCCUCCUCAGUCGGGAGGAGGACGGGAGCACGGCGUCACGUGGGCGUCAUGUCUCCGCCCAAAAUGGCGAGGAAGGGCGGGGAAAAGGGGCGGGUUUAGGGGGCGGGAAGAAGGUGGUGCUGGAGGAGGGAAAGAUUGAGGGGGGUUAGGGGGAGGAGCCGAAGCGGACGCCGCCGGGAGCGUGCGUCGUGACGUCAUCACAAGAACUCUUAUAUGCGGGAGCCCAGGCACCAUAUUGUCUUUUCGAGGUGGGAGCCGACUGUUGUGAGGUAUGGUGCUGGGUGUAGAUGCAAUGUGGCUCUCGAUAGCACCUUAUGGACAGUUGUGUCCCAAAGGAGGGAUGACAAUAGCUACUGAAGUCCUAAAGAGCAAGCCUAACUCAAGCCAUUGGCAUACAGGCAUUAGACAGAAAAUUAGAAGUUGAAAUGGUGGAGUGCAACUUGUCUGGACCAGCUUUAUUUUUCUGGUGCCGAUGUUUGGAGACCUUUUAAAGGUAUGGAGAGUCGACUUGACUACACCGUGUGGAGCAAGUUUUAAAGAAGCAAAGGACUCAGAAUUCAUGCUUGAAGAAAUGCAGGUUAGUUUAAACUUUUAAGGAAAUUUUUAAGGUGGCAAAAGGUUUUAGUGGCAUAUACACCUUAAUCUGUAGAUGGGAGUGAUUAGCUGUUUGAAAGUUGAAAUGUGACUGAAAAGGAAAUUGAGUAGGGAAAUUUUAAAUGGGAUUAUUUUUCAUCUUCAAACAGGCAGACCUGUUAUCCUAAACUAGGUGAGUCAGCUUUUGGUACAUGUGAUAAUUUUCAAUGUAACCAAUGAUGUAAUGAUUCUGCCAAAUGAAAUAUAAUGAUAUCACUAUAAAACCGUUCCAUUUUGAUUCUGAGGUUACUCUACUAACAAGCAUCACACGUUUGUUUUUUGCCGUGAUUAAUAUGUUGUCUUUGCUUUCAGGGUUUUUAAUGACUACAGCAAGCAAGCAUGUAGCUUUACCGCUUGAAAGGUGAGGAUUGGAAAUAUUGGGACUAUUAUAAUUGCAGAAUACAUGAUGAUCUCAGUCCAGCUUGAACUCUCUCACUGAUUACCUGAUGACAAUAAAAGAUCUGAUAUUCUGCA